rnacentral:rRNA from 1 species
UACGAAGGGUGCAAGCGUUACUCGGAAUUACUGGGCGUAAAGCGUGCGUAGGUGGUGAGUUAAGUCUGUCGUGAAAGCCCCGGGCUCAACCUGGGAAUGGCGAUGGAUACUGGCUCGCUAGAGUGCGGUAGAGGAGAGUGGAAUUCCCGGUGUAGCAGUGAAAUGCGUAGAGAUCGGGAGGAACAUCAGUGGCGAAGGCGGCCCUCUGGACCAGCACUGACACUGAGGCACGAAAGCGUGGGGAGCAAACAGG